GAGUUUGAUCGUGGCUCAGGACGAACGCUGGCGGCGUGCUUAACACAUGCAAGUCGAACGGUGACCUCGGAGCUUGCUCCGGGUGAUCAGUGGCGAACGGGUGAGUAACACGUGAGCAACCUGCCCCCGACUCUGGGGAUAACCCCGGGAAGUCGGAGCUAAUACCGGAUACGAGACGCACAGGCAUCUGUUGCGUCUGGAAAGAAUUUCGGUCGGGGAUGGGCUCGCGGCCUAUCAGCUAGUUGGUGGGGUAGUGGCCUACCAAGGCGACGACGGGUAGCCGGCCUGAGAGGGCGACCGGCCACACUGGGACUGAGACACGGCCCAGACUCCUACGGGAGGCAGCAGUGGGGAAUAUUGCACAAUGGGCGCAAGCCUGAUGCAGCGACGCCGCGUGAGGGAUGACGGCCU
rnacentral:rRNA from 1 species